UACAGAGGUGGCAAGCGUUGUUCGGAAUUACUGGGCGUAAAGGGCGCGUAGGCGGCCGAUCAAGUCAGGCGUGAAAUUCCCGGGCUCAACCUGGGGGCUGCGCUUGAUACUGAUUGGCUUGAAUGCGGGAGAGGAUAGUGGAAUUCCCAGUGUAGAGGUGAAAUUCGUAGAUAUUGGGGAGAACACCGGUGGCGAAGGCGGCUAUCUGGCCCGUAAUUGACGCUGAGGCGCGAAAGCGUGGGGAGCAAACAGG
rnacentral:rRNA from 1 species